rnacentral:rRNA from 1 species
AGUAAUGUCUGGGGAAACUGCCUGAUGAGGGGGGAUAACUACUGAAACGGUAGCUAAUACCGCAUAAUGUCGCAAGACCAAAUGGGGGACCUUCGGGCCUCAUGCCAUCGGAUGUGCCCAGAUGGGAUUAGCUAGUAGGUGGGGUAACGGCUCACCUAGGCGACGAUCCCUAGCUGGUCUGAGAGGAUGACCAGCCACACUGGAACUGAGACACGGUCCAG